rnacentral:rRNA from 1 species
UACGUAGGGACCAAGCGUUGUUCGGAUUUACUGGGCGUAAAGGGCGCGUAGGCGGUAGCACAAGUCAGUUGUGAAAUCUCCGGGCUUAACUCGGAAAGGUCAACUGAUACUGUGCGACUAGAGUGCAGAAGGGGCAACUGGAAUUCUCGGUGUAGCGGUGAAAUGCGCAGAUAUCAGGAGGAACACCGAUGGCGAGGGCAGGUCUCUGGGCAUUAACUGACGCUGAGGAGCGAAAGCGUGGGGAGCAAACAGG